AAUGAACGCUGGCGGCAUGCCUAACACAUGCAAGUCGAACGAGACCUUCGGGUCCUUUGUCGCCUGGGUUUGUAACGCGUCGGUACCUUCACUCAUGUUCGGCCUACCUCUGAGACUUUUGUACUUUUACGGGACCGUGUCUACUACCCAAUGAUUUAUUGCCCUUAGAUGUUCCCUAGUUGGAUAAGCUAGUUGGUUGGGUAAUGGCCUACCACGGCGACGAUCCAUAGCUGGUAUGAGAGGAUGAUCAGCCACACUGCGACUGAGACACGGCCUAGACUCCUACGGGAGGCAGCAGUGGGGAAUAUUGGACAAUGGGCGAAAGCCUGAUCCAGCAAUGCCGGGUGAGUGAUGAAGGCCUUAGGGUUGUAAAGCUCUUUUACCCGAGAUGAUAAUGACAGUAUCGGGAGAAUAAGCUCCGGCUAACUCCGUG
rnacentral:rRNA from 1 species